AAAGAAGUAGGUAGCUUAACCUUCGGGAGGGCGCUUACCACUUUGUGAUUCAUGACUGGGGUGAAGUCGUAACAAGGUAACCGUAGGGGAACCUGCGGUUGGAUCACCUCCUUACCUGAAAGAA
rnacentral:rRNA from 5 species